rnacentral:rRNA from 1 species
UCCAAGGAUAGCAGCAGGCGCGUAAAUUACCCACUGUGGACUCCACGAGGUAGUGACGAGAAAUAUCGAUGCGAAGCGUGUAUGCGUUUUGCUAUCGGAAUGAGAGCAAUGUAAAACCCUCAUCGAGGAUCAACUGGAGGGCAAGUCUGGUGCCAGCAGCCGCGGUAAUUCCAGCUCCAGAAGCAUAUGCUAAAGUUGUUGCAGUUAAAAAGCUCGUAGUUGAAUUUCUGGCAUGGGCGACCGGUGCUUUCCCUGAAUGGGGAUUGAUUGUCUGUGUUGCCUUGGCCAUCUUUYUCUCUUUCACUGUAAUCAAAGCAGAGUGUUCCAAGCAGGUCGUAUGACCGGUAUGUUUAUUAUGGGAUGAUAAGAUAGGACUUGGGUGCUAUUUUGUUGGUUUGCACGCCUGAGUAAUGGUUAAUAGGAACAGUUGGGGGUAUUCGUAUUUAGGAGCUAGAGGUGAAAUUCUUGGAUUUCCGAAAGACGAACUAGAGCGAAGGCAUUUACCAAGCAUGUUUUCAUUAAUCAAGAACGAAAGUCUG